GAUGAACGCUAGCUACAGGCUUAACACAUGCAAGUCGAGGGACCGGCGCACGGGUGAGUAACACGUAUCCAACCUGCCCUUUACCCGGGGAUAGCCGUUCGAAAGAAAGAUUAAUACCCGAUAUAAAGGAUGGGGAUGCGUUCGAUUAGGUUGUUGGUGAGGUAACGGCUCACCAAGACUUCGAUGGAUAGGGGUUCUGCGAGGAAGUGCCCCGAGAUGGCAACUGAGACCAGGGCCAAACUCCUACGGGAGGAAGCAGUGAGGGAUGUUGGUGAAGGGAAUCUUGCCUGAGCCAGCAAAGUAGCGUGAAGGAUGAAGGCUGAGGGGUGAUGGACUUCUGUUAUAUAACAAUAGGUAUUAUAAGAAGAAGGAUCGGCUAACUACGUGCCAGCCGCCGCGGUAAUAC
rnacentral:rRNA from 1 species